UCUUAAACUUUUUAACCUAUCACGUUUCAAAUCUUUCGCCAAUUUCAAUUUAUAUAGUUAAACGACAACAAUUGUUCCCACAAAAAUGAUUGAGAAAACGAUGUCCAGUGAAUUGGGACCCUUUUAAUAGUUUUAAUUUCCGCAAUUAGGACACUUAUCUAAUUGGUGUCGUCAAACUAUAUAAAUGAAAGCUAAUGGCGUUCUUAAUUGGUGUUGUUUUUUUAAAAGAAAAUAAUUUUUUUUGCUUUUUUUAAGUUCAAUAGUUAUUUUUUAGAAACUACUCAACUCAUGCUUCUCAACUUCUACUUCUACCUAUUACUCAAUCAUAAAAGCAAAAUAACAAAAUAUCUCGUACUUGUUUGACCUAAUUAUAAAUAUACCUUCAUAAAUAACAAACCAAUUCGACUCUCUUUAUUUUUUGAUCAUUCUCUCUCUUAUCCAUCUCCGUACUGAAGACCUACCCUACACUAAAGCCACUAUUCCUUUAUCUGCCAUUGUAUCCGACCGUCAAUUAGCCACCGAUCACCGUUUAAUAAUUUUAUUUUAUUUUUGUUAAAUUUUUAUGAGCAUAUAGUGUUUUUUUGCUUGGUAAUGUAACUGUUUUUUUGAGCAACUUCUAACUACAAAAAUAUACAUUUUGAAUGUUUUCAAUUACGUUUUUUUUUAACAUAAAUGAACUUUUUAAGCUAUUUUUAGGGCCAUUUUUGAAGUUACUAAACUCAUGCUUUUUAGUUUUUGUUUCUAUCUAUUACUCAAUUAUAAAAGCAAAAUGACAAAAUACUUCAUACUUAAUUAACCAACUAGUUUUUCAAUUGGAGAUUAUAUGCCGAACUAGUUUUUUAAUUAACAAAUAUUCUUGGAUCAUGAAGAUGGUGAAAGAUUGCAUUGCCGUUUUGAUUAAGAAUAUGGAACGUUUGAAAACCUUGGUAAGUAUUUUGUUAAAAGCACAAUGUCAUACCCUGCAGUUUUUUCAGGCAACUAGUUAAUGCGGUCGAAGUAUACAAACAUUUGGUUUAAAUUGUAAUGGUUAAAAAAUAUGAGAUCUAAUUUAUUUAAAUUGAAAAUAUGAGUUAAUUUUGUCACUAAAUUUAAACCUUGGGUUUAAUAUGUAAUUUCGUAAUCAAAGACACUUGCACAAAUUAUAUAGGCAGCGGAAGAAAUGCUAAUUUUAAUUUCAAACAAACCUUCCCAAUCUUUUUUUCCUAAUUCCAUUAAAUGUUGGUUGGAGUUAAAUUUUGCUGGAACCUGUAAAUUCACCUAAUGUAUAGGGAAAUGUGACGCCGUCUCAACAAUUGAGGUGCUUUCCCUGUGGCUACUUAGUUGGAGGUCUAAGCUUUUUGUGCUUGGAUUCUCCUAGACUAUGCCUUGAUGCUCUCUCUCUUUUUUCCCCCUUUUCUCCGGGCAAUUGAGGUGUAAUUUUGAUUAAUCGGUGAAAAUAAUUUACUAAAGAUAAAUAAAAGGUGAAAAGCAAAAUAGAUAAAAAAAAAUUAUCCCAAAUAGAAAGAAAAAUGAUUUUCAUACGUUCAUUUUCUUUAAUUGUAUUUUUCUUAUGUUUAUUGAAAUUAAAUUAUGCAAUUAUCGUAAUAAAAAUAUUUGAGUAAAAAUAAAUAUUUAAAUAAAUUUAUCAUAAUAAGGACAACAAAAUCUAUAAUAUAUGACACAAGUAUUUUUGAAUCUUUCAAAUUAUCUCUCACUAUUUACGGAUGAGAUCUAUUUGAGUUAAUACAAUGUCUGAAAUUUCACCUGAGACUAUUUUUUCUCCAAAAAAAAUAUCACUUCUUUUUUUCUCAAAGGUGUGUGUGGCCCACGUAGGUUGUAAAAAUCACAUGGUCAAACUAGCAACACUUUUUCAAAAUCAUUAUAUUUUUUAAUUUAUUCUUUAUUUUGUAGUAAUCUAUCUCUUAUAUGACGUUUAUAUCUUAUAUGUUUUUUAGGUUAUACAAAUUUUAAUGCACACGGAUGCGAUUUUUUUUUUUUUUACAUAAUGUCCGUGUGCACGGAUAAUUACUAACAGCUUAAUAUGAUCAAUUUAAUUGGUUUAGUAUUUUUCUUACAUCCCUAGGACUUGGGUUUGAUCGGAGAUUAUAUGCCGAAUAAAUUUUUUAAUUAGUAAAUAUUUUUGAACCAUAGAGAUGGCGGAAGAUUGUGUUGCCGUUUUGAUUAAGAAUAUAGGACUUCUGAAAAACCAUGGUAAGAAUAUAUCCUGCAGUUUUUUCAGCCAGUUAGUUAAUGCGGUUUCAGCCAGUUAGUUAAUGGGGUCAAAUGAUACAAUCAUUUGGUUUGAAUCGUAAUGGUUAAAAAAUAUGAGAUUUAAUUUCUUAAAUUGAAAAUAUAAAGUUAAUUUUGUCACCAAGUUUAAACUUUGGGGUUUAAUUUGUAAUUUCUCAAAAAAAAAGCAUUAAAAGUUAGAACUCAAAUCCAAUACCAAUCGGAGGCCGAUUCACUUUUGGGUUCUCUCUUGGCAAUUGCGAACUGCGAAGGCGACGUGAUUCUAGGGUUUGCGACGAGAAGAAGAUGAAAUCGGGAGCGACGAUCUGUGUGGAUGCUGAGCCCUAUUUGAGGGUGAAGGAGGAAGUGGAGGAAAAACAUGGCCUUCAAAUUGUUGGCGAAGGCGACGAGUAUUGCCUGAAGCAAAGCGACGAAAUAAGUGGAAUCGUAACGACGACCUUUUUGGGAUCCUGGAUGAUGUGGCUAAGCCCCUUUCGAGAGUGAAGGAGGAAGUGGAGGAAAAUCACGGCCUUCGAAUUGGGGGCGAUGCUAUGUUUUAUGCUCAUAUUCUUAUCGGAGGAAAGUUUGGAGAAUGUCAAAUUGGUAACUGUUAAUUCUCUCGUCUAUUACAUCUGUUGCUAUCCGUAUGUAAUCAAAUUUUGUUGUUGCUGCUGCUGCUGUUGUUAAAUCUCGUCUUUUCAUAAUUUCGGUUGAUUUUGGAGCUAUUCGUAGCCAUGGAUGGACGCAGACCUUGGGGCGGAUGGACAUACAUGGACGAAAAACUUGUGUCGAUUGCCUGAACAAAUUAUAUCAAUCUAGUAGAGUGCUAUUUUGUACAUCCACCUGGGUGAAUAUUACCCCAUUUAGAAUAGUAGACCCCGCAAUUUAGCCAUCACAGAUAGGAUAUUGAUGUGGGUGAACAAAAUAGCACUCACAUAAUUAAACUGAAACAUUAGAAGAAGAGGAAGAAUGAGAAGCUAAAAAACCUUUAGCUUGGUGGAUAUGACAAUGAAAAAGAUCUCCCCUGACAUGAGAUUCUUUCGUCAUUUGGCAUAAUUUUCUAAUAGAAAAGUUUAUCUGUUGGCCGAGUUUUUUUUCUAUCUGUGAAGACUGGCAGAACACGCUAUGGCCCGAUAUUUUCGUCAGGUGUUUAUCUGGGAUUUUCCUACCUUUGGAGAUUGGAUGCCUCCGUGCAUUCGCUUUGCACGGCAGAUUAGUUUUGUCAUUUCUAGCCCAAACCCACAAUUUAGAAGGUCGCCUUCUUUAUAAAAAAAUUGUCAAAGGGAAACAUAUGUAUCAUUUUUUGUUAGGCUUGAACAAAAAUCUCGAUGAAUUAGAGGACGACUUAUGGGCUUAAAAACCUCUGCCGCACCUCAGAGAGGCAUUUUAUGAACUCCGUCGUGAAAAAUUCGAAAAAAGCUCGUGAUGGGACCCCAUCAACAACUGAAAUAGGCAAGAAAGCUCUGUUUUUAAAACUCAUAUUCACUCCUUCUAAAACCGUCAAAAAUAAAGGAGGAAGGCCUUGGUGUGAUCAGUGUGGAAAGCCAGGUCACUCAAUAGAAACUUUCCAGAAUAUUCAUGAAAAAACAGCAGAUUGGAAGCCAUAUCAACUACUUGAGAAAGAAAGAUGUCCUUUUAUGUCAGCGUAGUCACAAACUGGUUCGUCUUCAAACAAUGUCAUUGAUUCCGGAACCUUGGCUCACAAAGGUAAUUCUUUAAGUGCCUUUAUUAUUGGUAAGAAAUUUAAAAAAUUUUGGAUCAUGGACUCGAGAGCAUCUGAUCAUAUGAGGGGAGAUAUAACAAUUUUUUAUAUAUAUAGCUUAUGUCCAAAUAAUCUAACGGUCCGAAUAGCGAAGGUUACCGAUAUAGGUUCAGUUGUGCUAUCACAGGAUCUUAAUCUCAACUCUGUUCUUCUUGUUCCUAACUUGGACUAUAAUCUAUUGUCAAUUAGUAAACUUACUAAAGAAAGGAGGCAUGUUACUAAUUUUUUCUCCAUUCACUAUGAAUUUUAGGAUUUGGAUUCGAGGAAGACGAUUGGCAAUGCUGAGGAAUACUCCAGACUCUCCAUCCUUAAGGAUCGCAACUAUCCACAAGAACAAUCUCAAACGACAUUUAGUGGUAUUCUUUGUUUUUAUUUGUGUCAAAAUAACGAUAGUGCAAUCAUGUUUGGCACUAUCAGUUAGGCCUCCUAAUGUUAUGCAUCUCACGCUUUAUUUUCUUCAUUAUUAUUCCUCCCCAAUCCCACCUCCUUUUUCUUUUUCCCUCUUUCCCUUCUCCCCUCCCCGACCCCCUCCGUUUCUUUCUUCAUUUUUCAUUCACCCCCUAUAAAGCUCUAAUCUUCUCAAUGAUUCCAUAGCGAUAUAUGGGGCUGUCCAGAUAAAAAAUUUAACUGGUUCUAUGUGGUUUUGGUCUCCUUAAUAUAUUAUCACACUAGAUUAACCUGGGCAUUCCUCAUGAAAGAAAUUUUGAAACGGGUUCAAAUCUUCAAAAAAUUUAAAAAUAUGAUUUAACUCAAUUUUAGUCAAAAAUACAAAUUCUAAAGCUAAUAACGCUAAUGAUUAUUUCAACUCUAUUCUAAGUUCAUUUCUAGAAAAAAAAAAAAAAAAAUAAAAGAGAGGAUAAUUCACUCCAAGUUUCCAUGUGUAGAUACACCAUAACAAAACGGAAUCGCUGGAAAAAAAAUAGGCAUUUGUCAAGGUGCGAGAUCGUAAUGUGUUUUUUUUUCUCCACAAAUGUUCCAAAAUUAUUCUGGGGGGAAGUUGUACUUUGGUGGCCUACUCAUCAUAGGAUUGCCGUAUAAGGUACAAACAUUCCCAAUGCUUUGUCAAAAGCGCUUAAAUCAUUUUUGAUACUCAUCGUUAUCUUCACCAUCCAAAUUUUUGGGUGGCUCAGUCUUUGUUCAUGUCCAUCAAUAGUAUACGAAGUAAAUUUGAAAUCAUAGUGUCACUCAAAUGCAUCUUUUCUUUGGUAUCUUCAAAUCAAAAAGGUACAAGUGUUACCUUCGUCACAAGAAAAAUCUCAACUAUAUCCCAAUUCUUUGGCAGUAUCGAAUGACAAUUUUUUUUUGCCAAUGUCAGUGGUCAGCGAGUGACAAGCGACGACCAUGACAUAUUAUUUUCUGCCUCCAUUUUUUGUAGGUUGGUGCUGAGGUUUCUGGUGCCCGUUGAAGCUCCAUUGAUGUAGUCUUCUUUCUCCUUUCCCCGUAUGAACAAGUAAGAUGACUAGACCAUUGUAAAUAAUUUUGUCCAUUCAGUUUAUGGGAGGAUCCCUGAAGAUAAGAGGUUUCCUCUAUAAAGGAUGAAGAUGAUGAGAUGUGCUAUCAGAAGAAGAGGAGGGUGAGUGGUAGCCAUUCGUAAGGUUGGAUCGUAUUUACGACAUGAAAUAGAAAAAGAGAAUCGAGUAGAAAAACUCGAACAUUGAUUGAAGAUGAAGAAAUUAUAUCAAUCUAGUAGAGUGCUAUUUUGUACAUCCACCUGGGUGAAUAUUACCCCAUUUAGAAUAGUAGACCCCGCAAUUUAGCCAAUCACAGAUAGGAUAUUGAUGUGGGUGAACAAAAUAGUACUCACAUAAUUAAACUGAAACAUUAGAAGAAGAGGAAGAAUGAGAAGCUAAAAAACCUUUAGCUUGGUGGACAUUAAUUUUUCAAAAAUUUCUCGGGUGGAAAAACUAUAUAAUUUGAAAAUAUUAGUAGCUUAUACUAUUAUUAUAAUGGGUUUUUACCUUGGGGUGGCGUUGGCGCCCUUCUAUCUCUAUCUCUCUCCCCUCAAUUCCUAAUUGUAGCCUUGUUGGUUUUAUUUUUCCCGUGACGCUUCAAUGGGUUUCGGUCCUGAUUCCAUUGUUGGUUGGGUUUUUUGAUGUUACUUUUUCUGGUUCUUCGAUUGGUGAUUACUGAUAUUUAUUUUUCCUUUUAUCUUAACCGUGAUGAUUUAUUUAUAUUGAAGAAGACAGUUUAAUGCUAGAGAGAUGCAGCAUAUCUCAAUGAAGCCUGUGAGUUGACACGAUCUAGAAUCUUAAGCAAUGAGGACGAGAAAGAGCUUGAUAGUGUUGAGCACAUUAUACGUCGGUCUUUGAUAGAAUACAACGAGCUGGUUAAGGAGAAGCAUCCGAUCUUCAAGCCUUGGUGGGAUCGUGUUAGCCGGGAACUUAAUGGUGCAGAAACUAAAUUGCUUUCUUUCAUGGAUUCAUGGAUGCCAAUUUCCGCGAUGCCACACGUAACUCCUGAAUUAGUCCAUGAGUGUCAGGCUGUUUGUGGUCUGCUUCACCUGGCCAUGGAAGCUAAGAACUUGUCUGGAAUUCCUAAGCUGCUCAGUGAGUUCAUUGACCUCCUCCACAAACUUGUGGGGGCCGAUUCCGAUUAAGUUUCAAAGACAAUUAGUGAAACUGUUGACAGCAUCAAGUAAGGAGGUAAAUUUACCAUAGUCCCCGUAGGCUGUCAAUAGAUGUUUGUGCUUGUUUCAAUUUUUUUUCUUGGGUUCCUUUGUUUUUGUUUGAUUUCCACUACUUGAAGUUCUAAUUUCAAUUCGUUGCAUUGGUAUAUAGGUUGCGAGGCCACCUUUCUGGCUUCCAAUUCCGUGGCUUCCUACUUUUUUCUGGGGAGUAUGCUGGGACCCAUCCUUGUACUGCUGCGUGAGAUGGUUUUGGGUCAGAUCACGUGACUAGUGCUAUGAUGAAACCAUGUUUUUCCGUCCUCGCUUGAAUACUUAUAAGCCAGGCGUGUUCCCAGAGGGUUUUCUCUUCUUGGGCGCCUACGUGGAUUGGUAAGGCGAACUUGCCAAAGCCAUCGCCGUGCAUCUAUAUGAUAAUGUUGGAACCGGCUAAUACGGGUGGACCUGUCAGAAUUCACAGAAUCUGCCUUGGGGAGACUUGUCGACCGCUGUGAGUUCUAUGCCGUACAGUGUUAUCUCUUUCGGCAAAAUUGAGAAGCCCCCUCCCUCGAUUUUGGACAUCCUCUUCAUAUUCUAAAUCAAGGUAGACUAAUUUGAUGGGCAAGGACGUAGCAUCGACUUCACUAAUACCAUGGUAUAUGACUUCAAAUGUGGGAGCAGAACAGCUCAAUUUGUUUUUGCAAAUGCUGCUUGCAUGAUUCGCGGAGUUUUUUUGGAAACAUGAUUGUUAACCUGAAGGGUAGCGGCCCUGAGCCGAGUAAUGAGAGUAGGAUUUUAUAGGUUUGAAAUCUCCUUUGUGGUUUUGUGUGGGAAUGCCGAGGGUUUCUUUUCAAGUGAUGACAAUCAAUAGUUUGGUGUCCAUAUGGCCUUUGCAGUCAAAAAAGUUCCUCAACCUGAGUUGCUGAAACUGUCUGGAUAAUUAUAUAUGUGUUUGAGAAUGGUUCAAAUAACCGUAUGCUAGGCUUAAAUUGAGGGACUGGCUAGUCAAUACUGAACGAAGGUUGUUGUAUACCCGUCUUAGGAACGUUAAAUGUAUUGUCUCUCGAGCUGCCUGUGAGUAUCCUUUAUCAUCUUUUGCAGUUGUUUAUUUUGAGUUGGAUCUGUUAAUACGUUUCAAUGUUGGUUUUUAGUAUUUUACCCGCGCCAUGCACGGGCUUGUUUUUGUAUGUUUUGCUUCCAGGAGUGUUUGUUUAUGUAAUUUCUAUAUAUAUACAUGCAUUCAAACAUCUACAUACAUACCAACGAAUGUACAUGCAUGUAAACAUCCACAAAUAUAUGUCGACUACUGACUACACAUGGUUGACCAUAUUUUCGGCACUCAAGGUAUAAUGGGUUUCUGGGUUUUGAAUUCUUAGAUCAAAUCUUAUGAACAAUCUAAGCAAUUUGAUGAAGCAGCCAAGAAAAUAAGUUUUGGACAGAUUCGCCAGAAUAAAGGUAGCACCAGUCCUUCUCAAACGCACGAAUCCUGUUGAAUUGUACAGUAGAAUUCAAAUUAUUUUCCACAAAAUGACGAGCACUUUUUAAAAGAAAUUGAUGAUCGAAUAAAAUAUUAUGAUCAGAAGAUUCCAAACAAAUGUUUGAAAUGUCUGGGUCAUCAUGCUUUACCUUUCUAGGUCUGAUACGCGUUCCAUCAAACAGUUUAAAAACAUAGCAUUUUCCAUCUAAGCCUUCACUAAAGAAAAGGAAAAGGGGUGCACAUUUUUUGUUCUUUGUUUUUAUGUUUUUUUUCCCAAAGCAGAGGUGGCACUGACAACAAACGAAAUUAGUGUUCAUAUAAGUUGUUGAGUAUGGACUGCAUGAUUAUGAUAAUCCACACCACUAUAAUUAACUUUGAAGUUCUUUCUCACUCCACUAUUAUUUUGAACCCCUUGAUAAUAUGUUCAUACUACAGGGGCCACUGAUUAGAAACCCCGCAUUUGUCUAUAAUACUCAAAUAAACGUAGUCUGUGUGAAGUUCCCCCCUGAUAUGAAAAGAGAAGAGAUAAAAUUCACCCAAGGUUAAAAUUAAAAAAUAUACUAAGAAAUAUGAAUAUUUUGCUGUGUCCACGUAUCCUUUAAAUGGGAAUUACAUGACUCCGACACUUGGACACCAAUCCGCACCAGAAAAACGUAUGUGAGACUAGGUAACAUAGGUGGCACCUUUCGCGAUCUGCCAAUAGAAGGGCACAACUUUAUUAUUGUAUUUUAUGAUUAGAAUUACUAUCGUUGCAUUCUUUGAACAAGGUUCCCUCGUUAUUUUGUACCUUAGUUAUAGACAAUGAGAAAAGAUCUGCGCGUGACAUGAGAUCUUCGUCAAUUUGGCAUAAUUUCUUAAUAGAAAGUUUAUCUGUGCCGAGUUUUUUUCUAUCUGUGAAGACUGGCAGAACACGCUAUGGCCCGAUAUUUUCGUCAGGUUGUUUAUCUGGAGAUUUUUCUACCUUUGGGGAUUGGAUGCCUCCGUGCAUUCGCUUUUGCACCAGAUUAGUUUUGUCAUUUCUCAUCCAAACCCCACAAUUUAGAAGUCCCUUCUUUGUAAGUGAAGAAUCGUGUCGGAUAUAAAGAGGUUUUAAAUGACAUUUUAUUGGAAAUUAUAGGGUGAACUUAAUUUAUGUUCUUAUGGAAACCCCCCACUAUUUCUGGAUUGGAAAUAUGUUCUUGCAAGAUAAAGGUAUAGUAGUUGUACAUUUUUCUGUCACUAGUUACUUUGUGAUAUACUUACUUAGGCCACUUAAACAAACUUUCUGGCACUAUCCCGUGAGAAGUGGUUGGACUGGCAUUCUCUGACUAUUGUGAAGUAUUAUUUCUAGUAUGCUGCCUUGUGCACUUUAUAAUUGCCUCCCAAUUUCAUCACAUUUCAUUAACGAAUACGAGGGAAGCCCAAUUCUUUAAAGUAUAGUUAUAUUGUUUCUUUGGCCUAAUAAUUUGCCACUCUUACAAGUUAUUUUGUGGCACUACUUGUUUGACAAGUCUUUAUGUAUACCUUUUGAAUCUGAAAGAGUGAAGGCUAUGGUCCUAUAUUGGAAUUUUUAUUGGUCUAUAGAGUUUCAUAAGUGUUGUUGUGCCUUGGAUUUACUGAUAGAUGGGCCAAGUACAAAUUAUUAAAAUUAUAAGUCGCGUUUGGAUGUGUGUUCAAACACUUAGGGGAGGGGUGGGGUGGGGUGUGUGGGGUGGACGAGUAUCUGUGUCCAAUACGUUUGAAGUCACCUUCUUGGAAGUCUUUAUACUUGUUAACUUCACCGUAAAAAAUCGAAACGCAUGAAUCCACGAGAUCAAUCCUGGUAUCAGAGAAUGAUAUGGUACCUAGUGUUUGGUUGAACGUUUUCAAUCUUGUUUCAGGAUAUUUCUUCAAAGAAGCCAUUUUUUUCUUUUGUCUUUUUGUGUAAUUUAGCAGUUAGUUUAUGACUCUAUAUAUAUUACAAUGAAGCCAA
rnacentral:lncRNA from 1 species